rnacentral:rRNA from 1 species
CCUACGGGAGGCAGCAGUGGGGAAUAUUGCACAAUGGGGGAAACCCUGAUGCAGCAACGCCGCGUGAGUGAAGAAGGUUUUCGGAUUGUAAAGCUCUGUUAGCAGGGAAGAGGAAGGACGGUACCUGCAGCGGAAGCCACGGCUAACUACGUGCCAGCAGCCGCGGUAAUACGUAGGUGGCAAGCGUUGUUCGGAAUAACUGGGCGUAAAGGGUGCGUAGGCGGAAUGCCAAGUCAGCGGUAAAAUCGCGGGGCUCAACCUCGCUCCGCCGUUGAAACUGGCGUUCUUGAGUGGGCGAGAAGUAUGCGGAAUGCGUGGUGUAGCGGUGAAAUGCAUAGAUAUCACGCAGAACUCCGAUUGCGAAGGCAGCACACCGGCGCCCAACUGACGCUGAAGCACGAAAGCGUGGGUAUCGAACAGGAUUAGAUACCCCUGUAGUC